GAUGAACGCUGGCGGCGUGCCUAAUACAUGCAAGUCGAGCGAACAGACGAGGAGCUUGCUCCUCUGACGUUAGCGGCGGACGGGUGAGUAACACGUGGAUAACCUACCUAUAAGACUGGGAUAACUUCGGGAAACCGGAGCUAAUACCGGAUAAUAUAUUGAACCGCAUGGUUCAAUAGUGAAAGACGGUUUUGCUGUCACUUAUAGAUGGAUCCGCGCCGCAUUAGCUAGUUGGUAAGGUAACGGCUUACCAAGGCAACGAUGCGUAGCCGACCUGAGAGGAUGAUCGGCCACACUGGAACUGAGACACGGUCCAGACUCCUACGGGAGGCAGCAGUAGGGAAUCUUCCGCAAUGGGCGAAAGCUUGACGCAGCAACGCCGCGUGAGUGAUGAAGGUCUUCGGAUCGUAAAACUCUGUUAUUAGGGAAGAACAAAUGUGUAAGUAACUAUGCACGUCUUGACGGUACCUAAUCAGAAAGCCACGGCUAACUACGUG
rnacentral:rRNA from 1 species